GAUGAAGGCUGGCGGCGUGCCUAAUACAUGCAAGUCGAGCGAACGGACGAGAAGCUUGCUUCUCUGAUGUUAGCGGCGGACGGGUGAGUAACACGUGGAUAACCUACCUAUAAGACUGGGAUAACUUCGGGAAACCGGAGCUAAUACCGGAUAAUAUUUUGAACCGCAUGGUUCAAAAGUGAAAGACGGUCUUGCUGUCACUUAUAGAUGGAUCCGCGCUGCAUUAGCUAGUUGGUAAGGUAACGGCUUACCAAGGCAACGAUGCAUAGCCGACCUGAGAGGGUGAUCGGCCACACUGGAACUGAGACACGGUCCAGACUCCUACGGGAGGCAGCAGUAGGGAAUCCUCCGCAAUGGGCGAAAGCCUGACGGAGCAACGCCGCGUGAGUGAUGAAGGUCUUCGGAUCGUAAAACUCUGUUAUUAGGGAAGAACAUAUGUGUAAGUAACUGUGCACAUCUUGACGGUACCUAAUCAGAAAGCCACGGCUAACUACGUGCCAGCAGCCGCGGUAAUACGUAGGUGGCAAGCGUUAUCCGGAAUUAUUGGGCGUAAAGCGCGCGUAGGCGGUUUUUUAAGUCUGAUGUGAAAGCCCACGGCUCAACCGUGGAGGGUCAUUGGAAACUGGAAAACUUGAGUGCAGAAGAGGAAAGUGGAAUUCCAUGUGUAGCGGUGAAAUGCGCAGAGAUAUGGAGGAACACCAGUGGCGAAGGCGACUUUCUGGUCUGUAACUGACGCUGAUGUGCGAAAGCGUGGGGAUCAAACAGGAUUAGAUACCCUGGUAGUCCACGCCGUAAACGAUGAGUGCUAAGUGUUAGGGGGUUUCCGCCCCUUAGUGCUGCAGCUAACGCAUUAAGCACUCCGCCUGGGGAGUACGACCGCAAGGUUGAAACUCAAAGGAAUUGACGGGGACCCGCACAAGCGGUGGAGCAUGUGGUUUAAUUCGAAGCAACGCGAAGAACCUUACCAAAUCUUGACAUCCUUUGACAACUCUAGAGAUAGAGCCUUCCCCUUCGGGGGACAAAGUGACAGGUGGUGCAUGGUUGUCGUCAGCUCGUGUCGUGAGAUGUUGGGUUAAGUCCCGCAACGAGCGCAACCCUUAAGCUUAGUUGCCAUCAUUAAGUUGGGCACUCUAAGUUGACUGCCGGUGACAAACCGGAGGAAGGUGGGGAUGACGUCAAAUCAUCAUGCCCCUUAUGAUUUGGGCUACACACGUGCUACAAUGGACAAUACAAAGGGCAGCGAAACCGCGAGGUCAAGCAAAUCCCAUAAAGUUGUUCUCAGUUCGGAUUGUAGUCUGCAACUCGACUACAUGAAGCUGGAAUCGCUAGUAAUCGUAGAUCAGCAUGCUACGGUGAAUACGUUCCCGGGUCU
rnacentral:rRNA from 1 species